UACAUAGGGGGCAAGCGUUGUCCGGAAUUAUUGGGCGUAAAGAGCGCGUAGGCGGCCUGUUAAGUCGAACGUGAAAUCCCCGGGCUCAACCCGGGAACUGCGUACGAUACUGGCAGGCUUGAAUUCGGGAGAGGGAUGCGGAAUUCCAGGUGUAGCGGUGAAAUGCGUAGAUAUCUGGAGGAACACCGGUGGCGAAGGCGGCAUCCUGGACCGAGAUUGACGCUGAGGCGCGAAAGCCAGGGGAGCAAACGGG
rnacentral:rRNA from 1 species